UAGCGCCCCUACCUCCGUCCACUCGGCCGCCACGUGGUAGCCGAACGAGGGCCUCGGAGUGGAGG
rnacentral:pre_miRNA from 17 species